rnacentral:rRNA from 1 species
AAUAGAUACCCCGGUAGUCCACGCCGUAAACGAUGAGUGCUAAGUGUUAGAGGGUUUCCGCCCUUUAGUGCUGAAGUUAACGCAUUAAGCACUCCGCCUGGGGAGUACGGCCGCAAGGCUGAAACUCAAAGGAAUUGACGGGGGCCCGCACAAGCGGUGGAGCAUGUGGUUUAAUUCGAAGCAACGCGAAGAACCUUACCAGGUCUUGACAUCCUCUGACAACCCUAGAGAUAGGGCUUCUCCUUCGGGAGCAGAGUGACAGGUGGUGCAUGGUUGUCGUCAGCUCGUGUCGUGAGAUGUUGGGUUAAGUCCCGCAACGAGCGCAACCCUUGAUCUUAGUUGCCAUCAUUAAGUUGGGCACCCUAAGGUGACUGCCGGUGACAAACCGGAGGAAGGUGGGGAUGACGUCAAAUCAUCAUGCCCCUUAUGACCUGGGCUACACACGUGCUACAAUGGACGGUACAAAGAGCUGCAAGACCGCGAGGUGGAGCUAAUCUCAUAAAACCGUUCUCAGUUCGGAUUGUAGGCUGC